rnacentral:rRNA from 1 species
UAGGGAAUAUUGCACAAUGGGCGCAAGCCUGAUGCAGCUAUGCCGCGUGGAGGAUGAAGGCCUUCGGGUCGUAAACUCCUUUUCUGAGGAAAGAAUAGCCGAGAGAGGAAAUGCCCUUGGUUUGACGGUACCUCAGGAAUAAGCAACGGCUAACUCCGUGCCAGCAGCCGCGGUAAUACGGAGGUUGCGAGCGUUGUUCGGAAUUACUGGGCGUAAGGGGAGCGCAGGCGGUCCGGUCAGUCUAAAGUGAAAUCCCGGGGCUUAACCUGGGAAGUGCGU